CCUACGGGAGGCAGCAGUAGGGAAUCUUCGGCAAUGGACGAAAGUCGGACCGAGCAACGCCGCGUGAGUGAAGAAGGUUUUCGGAUCGUAAAACUCUGUUGGUAGAGAAGAACGUUGGUGAGAGUGGAAAGCUCAUCAAGUGACGGUAACUACCCAGAAAGGGACGGCUAACUACGUGCGAGCAGCCGCGGUAAUACGUAGGACCCGAGCGGUGUCCGGAUUUAUUGGGCGUAAAGCGAGCGCAGGUGGUUUAUGAAGUCUGGUGUACAAGGCAGGGGCGCAACAAUUGGAUGCAUUGGAAAGUGGUAGCCUUGAGUGCAGAAGAGGAGGGUGAAAUUCCAGUUGUGGCGGUGAAAGGCGUAGAUAUAUGGAGGAACACCGGUGGCGAAGGCGGAUCUCUGGCCUGUAACUGAGAUUGAGGCUCGAAAGCGUGGGGAGCAAACAGGAUUAGAUACCCUUGUAGUC
rnacentral:rRNA from 1 species